rnacentral:lncRNA from 1 species
GGCGGGUAAGAUGGCGGCCCCGCGGCGAGGGAGAGGAUCCUCCACAGUGGUAUCCUGCUGCGUGCCCCUCCAGGACAGCACCCAGAGGCCCGAAUUGCUGCUGCACAGAGAGCACUCGGCCUCACCCCACGUUUUCCCUAAGUUCUGUCUAGUAAUUCCACUUUGGAGAGGGGGGUGUUCCUUGACAGAUUUAGAGAGUUGAUGUAACUUCCUCGGAUCAGUUCUGCUGGCUCCAUCCCCUACCUGCUCAGCCCUGCACAAAGUGGCUAAGCACGCCACACUGCCGGCUCCCAAGGCGAUGGCCACCUGCCUCUGUCUCGGCCGCUAGUGGCAGGAAGAUGGAAAUCCCUCACUUUGUCCCUAGAUUCAUUUUAUUUUAUUUUUGUUUGUUUAUGUUUUUUUAAGGACAGAGCCUUCCUCUCACCCAGGCUGGAGUGUGGCAAUCACAGCUCACUGCAGCCUCAGCCUCCUGAAGCUCUGGCAUCAGGCGGGAGCCACUGUGCCUGGCCCCAUAGACUCAUGUUAGCAUAAACAAAUAGGAAAUGUACACAGCUCAGGAAAUGGCUACUAGAUACUUAAGUCCCCCAAACAGAAAUAUAUUUCCUCUGAAGAAACUGAAAAAAGUGGCCGGGCGCAGUGGCUCAUGCCUGUAAUCCCAACACUCUGGGAGGCUGAGGUGGACAGAUCACUUGACACCAGGAGUUUCAGACCAGCCUGGCCAACAUGGUGAAACCCUGUCCCUACUAAAAAUACAAAAAAUUAGCUGGGCAUGGUUUUGCACGCCUGUAAUCCCAGCUACUCAGGAGGCUGAGGCAGAAGAAUCACUUGAACCCAGGAGGCGGAGGUUGCAGUGAGCCAAGAUUGUGCCACUGCACAGUGUCCAGUCUGGGCAACAGAGCAAGACUCUAUCUC